rnacentral:lncRNA from 1 species
CAAGAAUGCAGGCAACCUCUUGAUUCCACUCAUUCAAAGUUCUCUGUGGGGACUAGGUUCAGAAGAUGUCAUCUCCCCCAUAGACUAGCUUCCCAGAGAAUGUCACCUGCAAACUAGAAUGAUGCUAGUCUCAGCUUAACUGUGCAAAGAGAAAACCAGAACGCGCUCCCCAGGAACAAGGUUCAUUCACAGUUGUCAGAAGACUACUGAUCAGUAAGACUCAGCCAGAGGGGUGUAUUAAGAAUGGGAAUGUGAGAACCAAGAGGUCAGCAGGACAGAGAGGCACAGCCUCUUCACAAGUCAGAGAAGAUAAACAUUUCAGACAAGAUGCCAUGGUUGAAAACUGAAGAG